rnacentral:rRNA from 1 species
AUUGAACGCUGGCGGCAGGCCUAACACAUGCAAGUCGAACGAGUGGCGGACGGGUGAGUAAUGUCUGGGAAACUGCCCGAUGGAGGGGGAUAACUACUGGAAACGGUAGCUAAUACCGCAUACCAUCGGAUGUGCCCAGAUGGGAUUAGCUAGGGGGUGGGGUAACGGCUCACCUAGGCGACGAUCCCUAGCUGGUCUGUGAGGAUGACCAGCCACACUGGAACUGAGACACGGUCCAUAGUCCUACGGGGGGCAGCAGUGUGGAAUAUUGCACAAUGGGCGCAAGCCUGAUGCAGCCAUGCCGCGUGUAUGAAGAAGGCCUUCGGGUUGGAAAGUACUUUCAGCGGGGAGGCGUUACCCGCAGAAGAAGCACCGGCUAACUCCGUGCCAGCAGCCGCGUAAUAC